rnacentral:rRNA from 1 species
AGAAGUACGUCUGAAACUGUCCAACUUGAGUACGAGAGAGGAAAGUGGAAUUCCCAAUGUAGAGGUGAAAUUCGUAGAUAUUGGGAGGAACACCCGUGGCGAAGGCGACUUUCUGGAUCGAUACUGACGCUGAGACGCGAAAGCGUGGGAAGCAAACAGGAUUAGAUACCCUGGUAGUCCACGCUGUAAACGAUGGGAACUAGGUGUAGCGGGUAUUGAUCCCUGCUGUGCUGAAGCUAACGCAUUAAGUUCCCCGCCUGGGGAGUACGGUCGCAAGGCUAAAACCCAAAGGAAUUGACGGGGGCCCGCACAAGCGGUGGAGCAUGUGGUUCAAUUCGAUGCAACGCGAAAAACCUUACCUGGGUUUGACAUCCUUUGACAGUCCCUGAAAGGGGAUCUUCCCGAUUUAUCGGGACAAAGUGACAGGUGCUGCAUGGCUGUCGUCAGCUCGUGUCGUGAGAUGUUGGGUUAAGUCCCGCAACGAGCGCAACCCUUGUUUUUAGUUGCCAAUAUUAAGUUAGGCACUCUAAUGAUACUGCCCCGGUUAACGGGGAGGAAGGUGGGGAUGACGUCAAGUCCUCAUGGCCUUUAUACCCAGGGCUACACACGUGCUACAAUGGGCCAUACAAAGGGCUGCCACUCUGCAAAGAGGAGCUAAUCCCAAAAAGUAGUCCUAAGUUCGGAUUGGAGUCUGCAACUCGACUCCAUGAAGCUGGAAUCGCUAGUAACCGUGGAUCAGCAUGCCACGGUGAAUUCGUUCCCGGGCCUUGUACACACCGCCCGUCACACCACGAAAGUUGGUUGUACCAGAAGUUGUUAGGCUAACCCCCGAGCUUGUCGACGGGGAGGCAGACACCUAAGGUAUGGCUGGUGAUUGGGGUGAAGUCGUAACAAGGUAACCGU